rnacentral:tRNA from 1 species
GCAGGGGUAGCCAAGCCUGGUCAACGGCGAUAGACUCAAGAUCUAUUCCUGAAGAGGUCCGCGGGUUCAAAUCCCUCCCCCUGCA